rnacentral:rRNA from 1 species
CGAACGCUGGCGGCAGGCUUAACACAUGCAAGUCGAACGGUUGUAGCAAUACAGCAGUGGCAGACGGGUGAGUAACACGUGGGAACCUUCCUAGGGGUACGGAACAACUCAGGGAAACUUGAGCUAAUACCGUAUACGUCCGUGAGGAGAAAGAUUUAUCGCCCCUAGACGGGCCCGCGUAGGAUUAGGUAGUUGGUGAGGUAACGGCUCACCAAGCCUACGAUCCUUAGCUGAUCUGAGAGGAUGAUCAGCCACACUGGGACUGAGACACGGCCCAGACUCCUACGGGAGGCAGCAGUGGGGAAUCUUGGACAAUGGGCGCAAGCCUGAUCCAGCCAUGCCGCGUGAGUGAAGAAGGCCUUCGGGUUGUAAAGCUCUUUUACCAGGGACGAUAAUGACGGUACCUGGAGAAUAAGCCCCGGCAAACUUCGU